rnacentral:rRNA from 1 species
ACGCUCGACACCUACGGGAGGCUGCAGUGGGGAAUAUUGCACAAUGGGGGAAACCCUGAUGCAGCGACGCCGCGUGAAGGAAGAAGUAUUUCGGUAUGUAAACUUCUAUCAGCAGGGAAGAAAAUGACGGUACCUGACUAAGAAGCCCCGGCUAACUACGUGCCAGCAGCCACGGUAAUCUGAGCGGGCUGGCAAGGC